UGUUCGUUUUGUUUUACGUCUCGUGGAGAAAUGUCACUCAUAUUGAGACGUCACCAGCUGUAGGUGAAUUACCACAAAUUCAGUCCUAUGCUUAGCGCUUACGACGUAGCUGUGAGGAUUCUUUAUCCUGUCAACGCCUGCCGCUACAUGGGACCUCUGGUUUUUUUAAAGGUAAUAUCCGAAGAUUUCUACUAAAUACCGAACGUUUGGCGAAGGAACAAUGGCAGACUUGUUUACGUCUUAGGUUUUUGGGGGAACAUGAAUUACAGAAUGUCUUACUAAUGGUCGAUAAUGAAAUAGUGGAUGAACCUGUAUUACUAACUUCCUUAUUCAGCCAUGGUCGAUAAGAUGACAGGGGAUGCACUUGAUUUAUUGCAUGCCCUCUUCUUGGUCGAUAACAUGAUAUUGGAUGCACCUGAAUUACUAAAUGCCUUACACAUGGUGGAUAAGGUAAUAGUGGAUGAACCUGAAUUAUUGAAUGUCUUACACCUGGUGGAUAAGAUGAUACUGGAUGAAACUGAAUUACUGAACUUCUUACUCAUGGUGGAUAAGGUAAUAGUGGAUGAACCUGAAUUACUGAAUGUCUUACACAUGGUGGAUAAUAUAAUAGUGGAUGAACCUGAAUUAUUGAAUGUCUUGCUUAUCACGAAUACGAUAAUUGUGGAUGAACUUGAAUUACUGAAUGUCUUUGUGUUAUGGUGGACAAGAUAAUAGUGUAUGAUCCUGAAUUACUGCAUGUCCUACUCAUGGUGGAUAAGGUAAUAGUGGAUGAACCUGAAUUACUGAAUGUCUUACACCUGGUGGAUAAAGUAAUAGUGGAUGAACCUGAAUUACUGAAUGUCUUACACCUGGUGGAUAAAGUAAUAGUGGAUGAACCUGAAUCACUGAAUGUCUUACACCUGGUGGAUAAGGUAAUAGUAGAUGAACCUGAAAUACUGAAUGUCUCACACAUGGUGGAUAAGAUAAUAGUGGAUGAAACUGAAUUACUGAAUUUCUUACUCAUGAUCAUAGUGAAUUAUUAUGAAAUUACUGAAUGUCUUACACCUGGUGGAUAAAGUAAUAGUGGAUGAACCUGAAAUACUGAAUGUCUCACACAUGGUGGAUAAGAUAAUAGUGGAUGAAACUGAAUUACUGAAUUUCUUACUCAUGAUCAUAGUGAAUUAUUAUGAUGAUAUAUUUAUCUUUUGUUGAUAUGCUCUUUCGAGGAAGUGAUUUUUUCGACGAUUUGUUACUAAGUAGACAUUCAACCAAGAGUCAUUCAUAAUAUCAGUAACUCAUUUAAAGAACAUUGCUGAUUAAGUAGAAGGAAAGGAAAUUAUUUUGAAAUAUAUGAAAGGUGAAGAUAACGAAUAGUGAUCAAUCUCAUAACUCCUGUAAGGAAUACCAAUGGAAUCAAUCAACCAAUCCAUACAGAGUUUGAAACGACCACAUAACAACUUAUACUAAUACCUGUCCUACAUAUCCUGUGGGGACCGGGGCUAGAUACUAGUAGUCAUCAGAGCCACUUGCUUGUCGUUAGAGGUGACAAAAUCGGACGAGAUCGUAAAAACAAAGGUCCCAUAUACAGCAGCAGGUGUGGCACAAAACUAUCCCUACCUGCUCACCUGUCGUGGUAGCUCAGUGGUAGAGCGUUCGCUUCGUAUUCGGGAAGUCUUGAGUUCGAGCCCCGCUCGUGCCAUGGACGGGUCAAAUGUAAGACAUAUACAUAGAUAGCAGUUGCUUCUUCGCCAAACGCUCGCCAUUUAGAAGUGAGAAUUACAGGUGUUUAGGAUAUGACCUUAGAAACAGAAGUCCCGUGUUGCGUCACGUGUUGGCACGUUAAAGAGCCCUCACUGUUACGGCACUGGGCGCUAAGCAUAGCUCAAAUUUGUGGUACUUCACCUACAGCUGAUGACGUCUCAAUAUGAAUGGAUAAUUUUCGACGGAACUUAAAAGAAACAAUUUAUCAACUUCCCUGCUCAAAGGCCGUAAGCGCCUUGCAUAGGCCUAAAUUUUACACCCUUUCACUGCCAAUGAUGACCAAUAUCACGGAUUCGUUAACAGAACCUAAACCAAAUGAAGAUUCAAAUUACAUUCUUGAUUAAAUAAUCAACUACUGGGAAGAGAUCCACAAAUAGGAAUGUUUCGAUGCAAAUAACAGUUAAAUCUACAGAAUUCUGUUUCUGUGAGAAAUCCUAAGAGAACAGGAGAGAAACAGCAAAGGUGAAUCAACGUCACCAUGCAUGGUCAAAAGUCAGAUGGCCCAACGUCACCAUGCAUGAUCAAAAGCCAGACUGCCCAACGUCACCAUGCAUGAUCAAAAGCCAGACUGCCCAACGUCACCAUGCAUGAUCAAAAGCCAGACUGCCCAACGUCACCAUGCAUGAUCAAAAGCCAGACGGCCCAACGUCACCAUGCAUGAUCAAAAGCCAGAUGGCCCAACGUCAUGCAUGAUCAAAAGCCAGACGGCCCAACGUCACCAUGCAUGAUCAAAAGCCAGACGGCCCAACGUUACCAUGCAUGAUCAAAAGCCAGACUGCCCAACGUCCCAACCAUCGAGAGAUGGUUGCCAGUGUCAACAUUCAGAAGAAUUCAGAUGUCACUGUUAAUGUGAAAAUUAAGGAGGAGUGGCAGCAAUAUAUCUAACUGUAUAUGUUCUUAAAUCAGAUGUACAGAAAUUAAAACGUUUCUGUGAUAUGAUAAAAUUUUCAUUCUGAUAUCCGUUAAAGAGGUUCGCACCUGAGAUUUGGAGUAAUAUCAAUUUUUUGGGAAGUGUAUUUUCGAUUUCUACAUUGAAGGAGAAUUGAGAAAUUUAAAAACUUGUUAUUGAGCUAUAGUGUUCUAACAUGACUUUUUUGUACUUAAAAUUAACUCUAGAUCAGUCAAUUAAACGUGAUUUGUCUGUUGGUGUCAAUACAACAUAAGCAACACAAAUCAAUCAUUACAUAAACUAGAUUCAUAAUUAUGUCUUCUAACAAUACAUAUAAAAAAAGGUUUAACACUAGUAAUGGAAAUGAAUAAUGACCAUCUUGCACUUGAAAUACGAAAAAAUUCAUGAUAUAAAAUUUGAGAGUUUAAAAGGACAUAUUAGGAGUACUGUCGAUUUCUAAAAAUUUCAUAUAAUUUUCAAGGUCUUGUCUUAGAAUUAGAAAUGGAACUAAAAAAAGUGGGAUAAGAGGUCAAUUUUUUUAAUUAUUGGCGAAAAUAAGAAAUUUGUAUACAAAAUUUCGAAUAAAUUAAUUCAAACUUUUA